rnacentral:rRNA from 1 species
UACGAAGGGGGCUAGCGUUGCUCGGAAUGACUGGGCGUAAAGGGCGCGUAGGCGGUUUGGUCAGUUAGAUGUGAAAUUCCUGGGCUUAACCUGGGGGCUGCAUUUAAUACGGCUAGACUAGAGUGUGAAAGAGGGUCGUGGAAUUCCCAGUGUAGAGGUGAAAUUCGUAGAUAUUGGGAAGAACACCGGUGGCGAAGGCGGCGACCUGGUUCAUUACUGACGCUGAGGCGCGAAAGCGUGGGGAGCAAACAGG